CCAAGGAGUCUAACAUGCGCGCGAGUCAUUGGGCUGUACGAAACCCAAAGGCGCAGUGAAAGCGAGGGUCGCCUCGGGCUGACCCAGGUGGGAUCCCUUCCUCUCUCCCGAGGAGGGGCGCACCACCGGCCCGUCCCGUCUGCGCUGUCAGUGGGGCGGAGCAGGAGCGUGCACGCUGGGACCCGAAAGAUGGUGAACUAUGCCUGAGUAGAACGAAGCCAGAGGAAACUCUGGUGGAAGUUCGUAGCGAUUCUGACGUGCAAAUCGAUCGUCAAACUUGGGUAUAGGGGCGAAAGACUAAUCGAACCAUCUAGUAGCUGGUUCCCUCCGAAGUUUCCCUCAGGAUAGCUGGCGCUCGAUCGCAGUUUUAUCCGGUAAAGCGAAUGAUUAGAGGUCUUGGGGACGAAACGACCUCAACCUAUUCUCAAACUUUAAAUGGGUAAGAAGUCCUCCUCGCUCGAUUGGAGGAGGGCCCCCUUUUCGAAUGCGUGUGCCAAGUGGGCCA
rnacentral:rRNA from 1 species